GGCCCCAUGGUCAAGCGGUUAAGACGUCACCCUUUCACGGUGAAAUCAUGGGUUCGAGUCCCGUUGGGGUCACCA
rnacentral:tRNA from 1 species